rnacentral:rRNA from 1 species
CCUACGGGAGGCAGCAGUAAGGGAUAUUGCGACAAUGGACGCAAGUCUGACGCAGCAACGCCGCGUGCGGGAUGACGGCCUUCGGGUUGUAAACCGCUUUUCUGUGGGAAGAGACAGGACGGUACCACAGGAAGAAGUCACGGCUAACUACGUGCCAGCAGCCGCGGUAAAACGUAGGUGGCGAGCGUUAUCCGGAUUUACUGGGUGUAAAGCGUGUGCAGGCGGUCGUGUAAGUAGCGCGUGAAAGCGCCCGGCUUAACCGGGCGAGGACGUGCUGUACUGCGCGACUGGAGAUAGGUAGAGGCGAGUGGAAUUCCGGGUGUAGUGGUGAAAUGCGUAGAGAUCCGGAGGAACACCUGAGGCGGAGGCGACUCGCUGGGCCUGUUCUGACGCUCAGACACGACAGCAUGGGGAGCGAACGGGAUUAGAAACCCCGGUAGUCCAUGCCGUAAACGAUGCAGACUAGGUAUCGCGGGGGUAAAACCCGGCGGCGCCGUAGCAAACGCGCUAAGUCUGCCACCUGGGGACUACGGCCGCAAGGUUAAAACUCAAAGGAAUUGACGG